CUCUGGACCCAUUAAUGCAAGGUCUGACUCUUCCAGACUGAGAGACUGCUGAAGGAAGAAGCAGUGACCCACGGCUGAGUACAGUGGCCAGGGUUCCAGGGUACACAUCUGUCAAUUCACCCCUCUGGAGGCAUGGGCUGCUGUCAGUACUCUUGUCAAAAAUCUGGGGAAUGUUUACAUAAUGGCCUCACGUGCUUCAGAGCCUCUGUCAAGCCUGGGAGAAGUGAGGAAGGGAGAAGGUACUGGGAGGAAGUGGGUAACAAGGGGGCUCCCUAUCGGAGGGCUCAUGCUGCCGGCAGAUGAGCCAGGGCUGUAUGUCUUCUCGGCCUAGGGAGGUGAAAGAGUUCAUACAGCCAACCAGGAAGCAGUCACUCUGACAAGCCAAGCGAAGAGAUGUUUGGCCACCUGCAUCUGACUUCUAGAUCGGCUUCUGUUCUUGGGACCAGCAAUGCUUGAAUGAAAAGCUCUGCUGAUG
rnacentral:lncRNA from 1 species